AAUUAAUUCAGUCUCUAAAUAAAAAAUAAUUAAAACAAAAUUUUUUCUCUGGUAUUUGUAUUGGAACCAAAACUUUACUUUCACUUGAAGAAUCCCUCCAACUCCAAAAUUUCCCUAAUUUCCAUUUUCACUUCCCCCCAUCAUUUCCCUCUCAAAUAAAAUUUCCCUAAUUCGAUUUUGACAAAACCCUAACUGCAAUUUCAUUUCCACAAAGAAGACCUAAUUCUAUUUCACAUUCGCUCUUAAGCAAAACCCUAAUUUCAUUUUUGUGUUCUUCUAGUGUUUCUGUUGUUCGUUUUUGCUCCCGAAUUUUUCUUGAUCUAUCGUUCAUCUGGGUUACUUUCGUUCGUCUAGGUUGCUUUCUUUCAUUUGGGUUCCUCUCAUUCUUGUGUUUGUCUGGUUUCCUUUCGUUCAUUUGGGUUCCUCUUGUUCCAUCUAAUUCUUGUGUACCUUUCGUUCCUCUAAUCAGUUCAAUCUUUUGUUGCUACUCUUAAUUCACAUUCACUCCUAAUUUCAUCACCACCUAAUACCCAUUUUCCACACACAAUGACACUAUUGGGCUCAGUCUUUCAAACAAGGUAUCUAAUCCGUUGAAAUAUAUUCCAAAGAAAGGUAUCUAAUUUGUUUGUUUGUGUUUUGUGCUAGGAUUGCUUCAUAUGUUGAUUUGUCAUCUCAGGAUAAAGAGGAUGUAUAUUAGCUUAAUAGGAAUUUCAGGGGAAACCAACUUUCAGAUAGUUUACUUAGAGAAAGUCAACUAUUAGGACCAUGAUGGAAGCUGCUCCAAUAAAAGCUUUUUUUUUGCUGAACUAGUCAAGCUUCUCUUCUCGUGUCUUCACUAGUAGUUCUUCACAGGGGUGGCAGGGGUAGUACAAGCUUGUUCAUGCUAUGUUAAUAGUCCUUGUAGAAUGAGGUGAAGAGCACCUGUAACUAUUUUUCAGAUUGCUUUUCUACUGGUACCAUAGAAUUAGGAGUGCUGAUUGGAAAAGGUGGCUAUUUUGGAAAUGUAUUAAAACUACACCUCUCUUAUGUUUCAGCCAAGAAGAUGCAGAUAUAUUAAUACCGGUCUUGGUUCAGGUUGGAAUUAGGUGGCUGCAAUUAUUUAAUUAUGGUAUUGGUGAGCUUAGAAAGUAAGGAUUUGUUGGGCUGUUGCUCGAGGACAAUAUUCAAGACUAUUAAAUGAAAUCAUAUUUAUAGUUAGUGAGAUUUAAGCAUUCUGGUUUCAUGAUAUGACAUUUGUGUAGUCUAUGUAAUUCCAUUUGUACUUUCUUAUCUGUUGUAUCAUUUCAUAUAGGUUGUAGUUUUUUUGUUAAGAGCGUUGGAUCUUGAUUUAGGUGUAGUUCUGCAUAUUGUCAAUGCAGAGCAACUAAUGGAAUAUUUUGUAAUUUUGGCACUUCAAAAUAUUUUGUGUG